rnacentral:rRNA from 1 species
GAUCCUGGCUCAGGAUAAACGCUGGCGGCGCACAUAAGACAUGCAAGUCGAACGAACUUAACCAUUAGUUUACUAUUGGAGCGGUUAGUGGCGGACUGGUGAGUAACGCGUGAGCAACCUGCCUAUCAGAGGGGAACAACAGUUAGAAAUGACUGCUAAUACCGCAUAUACCUAAGUAUCGCAUGGUACAAUAGGGAAAGGAGCAAUCCGCUGAUAGAUGGGCUCGCGUCUGAUUAGAUAGUUGGUGGGGUAACGGCCUACCAAGUCGACGAUCAGUAGCCGGACUGAGAGGUUGAACGGCCACAUUGGGACUGAGAUACGGCCCAGACUCCUACGGGAGGCAGCAGUCGGGAAUAUUGCGCAAUGGAGGAAACUCCUGACGCAGUGACGCCGCGUGCAGGAAGAAGGUUUUCGGAUUGUAAACUGCUUUAGACAGGGAAGAAAAAGGACAGUACCUGUAGAAUAAGCUCCGGCUAACUACGUGCCAGCCGCGGC